rnacentral:rRNA from 1 species
UGAGGAAUAUUGGUCAAUGGACGCAAGUCUGAACCAGCCAAGUAGCGUGCAGGAUGACGGCCCUAUGGGUUGUAAACUGCUUUUAUAUGGGGAUAAAGUGGGGAACGUGUUCCCUUUUGCAGGUACCAUAUGAAUAAGGACCGGCUAAUUCCGUGCCAGCAGCCGCGGUAAUACGGAAGGUUCGGGCGUUAUCCGGAUUUAUUGGGUUUAAAGGGAGCGUAGGCCGUUUGGUAAGCGUGUUGUGAAAUGUAGGAGCUCAACUUCUAGAUUGCAGCGGGAACUGUCAGACUUGAGUGGGCACAACGUAGGCGGAAUUCAUGGUGUAGCGGUGAAAUGCUUAGAUAUCAUGAAGAACUCCGAUGGCGAAGGCAGCUUACGGGAGUGCAACUGACGCUGAAGCUCGAAGGUGCGGGUAUCGAACAGG